AGGGGCCUCGCCGCGGGAGGACCCACCUGGUGUCGGCAACAUGGCAGCGUCCAGCCGGGCCCAGGUGCUGCGAUUGUACCGGGCCCUAUUGCGGGAGAGCCAGCGCUUCAGCAGCUACAAUUACAGAACGUAUGCCAUCAGAAGGAUAAGAGAUGCCUUCAGAGAAAACAAGAAUAUAAAGGAUUCUGGGAAAAUAGAAGAACUACUGAAUAAAGCCAAAGCAAACCUAGAAGUUAUUCAUCGGCAGGUUUUCUCUUGGAGAGCCUUGCUAUCCAGUAUUCUCCAGAGAAGUACUAGAGGCAGAGGCUGGAGAAGACAAUGAAGCAGGGAGUGUCACAGGAGAAGAGUCAGAGAUCACUCAGACAGAUCUGAGCUAGUACUUAGUUAACUGAAUUCUAAUCAGUAAAUUUAGGUAUGUAAAAUAUUUAAUCAGUACAGACGGAUUGGGGCUCAGUACUAUUACUAUACUUAAUGUUAGUAUAGUAUAUAAAGAUUAUCAUUUAAAUUUACUAUACAUAAUCUUAAAUGUUGCACGUAUGCAAAAAAAACGCAGCCGAUGGAUGUUUGGUGUCAGGUAAGGGAUCUCUCAGCCUUGAGGGAUAACCUUGAGAGAUGACUCUUCUCAAGGGCAGAUAACUGCUGCACAGCCAACUGCGCCAACUGAGGAAGAGCUCAACAGACCCUGGAGAUAUUUACAGCAUAAAGUGGUUGAUUUGUAGUCAGAUCUGCUGUGUUAAUGCAAUUUCAGCUGCUGAUUAGCCCAGUCUCCAGUCAAACUGGGGGUUUGGGGUUUUGGUGCUGAGUUCUCAUGUAAAACCUCACCAAAUAGGAUUAACUUAGGUCAGGUGUACUUAGUACCUGCCUGAACCAAAGUCAGUUAGUUCCAACAGGAGGAUUGUAUCCAUCACAGCAGUGGCAAAAGAUAAGAAUGCACAGGGUCAAUUUUUGCCACUUAAAGGAAGCUGUAUUAAAGAAGAAACAAUUUAUGAAUAUGGGAUGUCCCAUAGUAAAAUGCUGCAGAAAAUCUCUUGUGGAUUGUGUCUUAAGAUAAAUCCUGUCAUCAUGUCAGAAAAUGCUCUGUGAUGGUUGUCAGUAAUAAUAUAAACACUGUAUGUUUGAUAAAUGAGGAAAACAUUACUGAAGUUUGUGCUAAACAACAGCAAUCUUAAACAGACAUACAUAAACCCUGUCACGCAAACUCAGGUAAAUAAAAUAUACUCUGUCUA